CCUAGGGCUCAGGCUGUGAGAAACAUCCUGCCGGGCAAGUCCUAAGCCCAACCGCCUGAUCUCAGGAAAUUCCUCACUUAGCAACAGCUAACCACCCUGCCCACCCCACUUCACAACAAGCCCAGAUCUCUCCCACCCGGACCUAAACUUACCCAGUCUGUAAGCGGGGGCGGGCUCUGGCCUUAGUUGGUGUCCCCCUCCGCGGGUGUUUGUUCGGUAAACCUGUGUUGCUGUAGAGCCGCCUCCGUCCGUUUUUCCUCCCGUUCCUGCGCUAACAAUGACAUUAUACCAAAUGUAACUGAGCUUUUAUGGAAGGAACUAAUAGCUGAAGAUAGAAAUGCAUCCAAAAUCAGAUGUUAGGAACACUGGGAGUUGUCUAUGGGGAAACAC
rnacentral:lncRNA from 1 species